UGGUAGAGGUGCGGUCAUCAAUAGUAAACGGCGCAAUUCAGGGACAAGCCCCCUGCGUCGUCCAAAGGGAUGCUCGCCGAGGGAGAGCUUCGCCGGCUUGUAGGCGGUUCGCCCGGUGCGCCGGAUAAUAUCCGACGUACUGUCACUUUUGUGGAGCGCUAUCGGU
rnacentral:ncRNA from 1 species